CUUGUCCCAUGGUAAAGCCUCUGUGGAAUGAGGCUUUUCUGUAAACAAGGAAGUAGAGACAACAAACAUGCAAGGGGAAACUGGCUAUCCAGAGGCUUGUGUGUGAUUAUGUCACCUUACAUGGGGGUGUUACUCAGGUUCCACUCACAAAGGAGCUACUAUCAUCUGUAGCAGCAGCAAGGACCAACUACCGUAUUCACCUGGAUCAGGAGAGACAGACAAAGGAGGCCAAAACACAAGCUCAAAAAAGAAAGGCAGAGAGGACCAUCUGGAUGAACUUAGAAAAAAAGAAAACCCUUCUAUAGGCUGAGUCACCAUCCCAACAAAGGGAAAGUAUCAGAGGAGAGCAGCCUAAACACACUUGAAGAG